GUAGGGAAUCUUCCACAAUGGGCGCAAGCCUGAUGGAGCAACACCGCGUGAGUGAAGAAGGGUUUCGGCUCGUAAAGCUCUGUUGUUGGAGAAGAACGUGCGUGAGAGUAACUGUUCACGCAGUGACGGUAUCCAACCAGAAAGUCACGGCUAACUACGUGCC
rnacentral:rRNA from 1 species